rnacentral:rRNA from 1 species
AAUAGAUACCCGGGUAGUCCACCCGUAAACGUUGGGAACUAGUUGUGGGGUCCUUUCCACGGAUUCCGUGACGCAGCUAACGCAUUAAGUUCCCCGCCUGGGGAGUACGGCCGCAAGGCUAAAACUCAAAGGAAUUGACGGGGACCCGCACAAGCGGCGGAGCAUGCGGAUUAAUUCGAUGCAACGCGAAGAACCUUACCAAGGCUUGACAUACACCAGAACACCCUAGAAAUAGGGGACUCUUUGGACACUGGUGAACAGGUGGUGCAUGGUUGUCGUCAGCUCGUGUCGUGAGAUGUUGGGUUAAGUCCCGCAACGAGCGCAACCCUCGUUCUAUGUUGCCAGCACGUAAUGGUGGGAACUCAUGGGAUACUGCCGGGGUCAACUCGGAGGAAGGUGGGGAUGACGUCAAAUCAUCAUGCCCCUUAUGUCUUGGGCUUCACGCAUGCUACAAUGGCCGGUACAAAGGGCUGCAAUACCGUGAGGUGGAGCGAAUCCCAAAAGCCGGUCCCAGUUCGGAUUGAGGUCUGCAACUCGACCUCAUGAA